rnacentral:rRNA from 1 species
CAGUCGCCACGGUAAAACGGAGGGUGCAAGCGUUAAUCGGAAUUACUGGGCGUAAAGCGUGCGUAGGCGGUUUGUUAAGUCUGCUGUGAAAUCCCCGGGCUCAACCUGGGAAUGGCAGUGGAUACUGGCAAGCUAGAGUGUGUCAGAGGAUGGUGGAAUUCCCGGUGUAGCGGUGAAAUGCGUAGAGAUCGGGAGGAACAUCAGUGGCGAAGGCGGCCAUCUGGGACAACACUGACGCUGAGGCACGAAAGCGUGGGGAGCAAACAGGAUUAGAGACCCGUGUAGUCCCUGUCUCUUAUAC